rnacentral:rRNA from 1 species
UACGUAGGAUCCAAGCGUUGUCCGGAUUUACUGGGUGUAAAGGGUGCGCAGGCGGACUGGUUAGUCUGGGGUGAAAUCUCAUCGCUUAACGGUGAAACUGCCUUAGAUACUGCCAGUCUUGAAUCAGCGAGAGGUUCGUGGAAUUCCGAGUGUAGCAGUGAAAUGUGUAGAUAUCGAGAGGAACACCUGCGGCGAAGGCGGGUUGCUGGGCUGACACUGACGCUGAGGCGCGAAAGCUAGGGGAGCGAACGGG